GAUGAAGAACGCAGCGAAAUGCGAUAAGUAAUGCGAAUUGCAGAAUUCCAGUGAGUCAUCGAAUCUUUGAACGCACAUUGCGCCCUUUGGUAUUCCGAAGGGCAUGCCUGUUCGAGCGUCAUUAUCACCCCUCAAGCCCUCGGCUUGGUGUUGGACGGUUUGGUGGAGGCCCCCUCGGGGGCUCCUGCCCCUCCCAAAGACAAUGACGGCGGCCUCGUUGGACCCCCGGUACACUGAGUUCUUCACGGGACACGUAUCGGACACAUGGGUUUACGGGACACGGUCUGCCUCCCCUCAGGGAGAAUCUUUCUAAGGUUGACCUCGGAUCAGGUAGGGAUACCCGCUGAACUUAAGCAUAUCAAUAAGCGGAGGA
rnacentral:misc_RNA from 1 species